UACGAAGGGUGCAAGCGUUAAUCGGAAUUACUGGGCGUAAAGGGUGCGUAGGCGGUUCGUUAAGUCUGUCGUGAAAUCCCCGGGCUCAACCUGGGAAUGGCGAUGGAUACUGGCGAGCUAGAGUGUGUCAGAGGAUGGUGGAAUUCCCGGUGUAGCGGUGAAAUGCGCAGAUAUCGGGAAGAACACCCGUGGCGAAGGCGGCUCUCUGGGACGGUACUGACGCUGAGACGCGAAAGCGUGGGGAGCGAACAGG
rnacentral:rRNA from 1 species